rnacentral:rRNA from 1 species
GACGAACGCUGGCGGCGUGCUUAACACAUGCAAGUCGAACGGAAAGGCCUCUUCGGAGGUACUCGAGUGGCGAACGGGUGAGUAACACGUGGGCAAUCUGCCCUGCACUUCGGGAUAAGCCUGGGAAACUGGGUCUAAUACCGGAUAGGACCUUAAGACGCAUGUCUUUUGGUGGAAAGCUUUUGCGGUGUGGGAUGGGCCCGCGGCCUAUCAGCUUGUUGGUGGGGUGACGGCCUACCAAGGCGACGACGGGUAGCCGGCCUGAGAGGGUGUCCGGCCACACUGGGACUGAGAUACGGCCCAGACUCCUACGGGAGGCAGCAGUGGGGAAUAUUGCACAAUGGGCGCAAGCCUGAUGCAGCGACGCCGCGUGGGGGAUGACGGCCUUCGGGUUGUAAACCUCUUUCACCAUCGACGAAGGUCCGGG